UGCAGUCGACGAUGAAGCCGCAGCUUGCUGUGGUGGAUUAGUGGCGAACGGGUGAGUAACACGUGAGUAACCUGCCCUUCACUCUGGGAUAAGCCUUGGAAACGAGGUCUAAUACUGGAUAUUCAUUCAUGAUCGCAUGGUUGUGGGUGGAAAGAUUUUUUGGUGAGGGAUGGACUCGCGGCCUAUCAGCUUGUUGGUGAGGUAGUGGCUUACCAAGGCUUUGACGGGUAGCCGGCCUGAGAGGGUGACCGGCCACACUGGGACUGAGACACGGCCCAGACUCCUACGGGAGGCAGCAGUGGGGAAUAUUGCACAAUGGGCGAAAGCCUGAUGCAGCGACGCCGCGUGAGGGAUGAAGGCCUUCGGGUUGUAAACCUCUUUCACCAGGGACGAAGCGAAAGUGACGGUACCUGGAGAAGAAGCACCGGCUAACUACGUGCCAGCAGCCGCGGUAAUACGUAGGGUGCGAGCGUUGUCCGGAAUUAUUGGGCGUAAAGAGCUUGUAGGCGGUUUGUCGCGUCUGCUGUGAAAGACCGGGGCUUAACUCCGGUUCUGCAGUGGGUACGGGCAGGCUAGAGUAUGGUAGGGGAGACUGGAAUUCCUGGUGUAGCGGUGAAAUGCGCAGAUAUCAGGAGGAACACCGAUGGCGAAGGCAGGUCUCUGGGCCAUUACUGACGCUGAGAAGCGAAAGCAUGGGGAGCGAACAGGAUUAGAUACCCUGGUAGUCCAUGCCGUAAACGUUGGGCGCUAGGUGUGGGACUCAUUCCACGAGUUCCGUGCCGCAGCUAACGCAUU
rnacentral:rRNA from 1 species